rnacentral:rRNA from 1 species
UACGAAGGGGGCUAGCGUUGCUCGGAAUCACGGGGCGUAAAGCGCACGUAGGCGGAUUGUUAAGUCGGGGGUGAAAUCCUGGAGCUCAACUCCAGAACUGCCUUUGAUACUGGCGAUCUCGAGAUCGGAAGAGGUGAGUGGAAUUCCCAGUGUAGAGGUGAAAUUCGUAGAUAUUGGGAAGAACACCGGUGGCGAAGGCGGCUCACUGGUCCGAUACUGACGCUGAGGUGCGAAAGCGUGGGGAGCAAACAGG